AUUGAACGCUGGCGGCAUGCCUUACACAUGCAAGUCGAACGGUAACGGGCCUUCGGGUGCCGACGAGUGGCGAACGGGUGAGUAAUGUAUCGGAACGUACCUUUCAGUGGGGGAUAACGUAGCGAAAGUUACGCUAAUACCGCAUAUUCUGUGCGCAGGAAAGCAGGGGACCUUCGGGCCGUGCGCUGAUUGAGCGGCCGAUAUCAGAUUAGCUAGUUGGUGAGGUAAAGGCUCACCAAGGCGACGAUCUGUAGCGGGUCUGAGAGGAUGAUCCGCCAAACUGGAACUGAGACACGGUCCAGACUCCUACGGGAGGCAGCAGUGGGGAAUUUUGGACAAUGGGGGCAACCCUGAUUCAGCCAUGCCGCGUGAGUGAAGAAGGCCUUCGGGUUGUAAAGCUCUUUCGGCCGGGAAGAAAUCGUAUCAGCUAAUACCUGGUGCGGAUGACGGUACCGGCAUAAGAAGCACCGGCUAACUACGUGCCAGCAGCCGCCGUAAUAC
rnacentral:rRNA from 1 species